rnacentral:rRNA from 1 species
GACGAACGCUGGCGGCGUGCUUAACACAUGCAAGUCAGGGGGCGGGGUAACCCGUCACCGGCGAACGGGUGCGGCACACGUGUGCGACCUGCGCUGGUGUGGGGGCUAGCCGGCCCAAUGGCCGGGUAAUACCGCAUACGCCGCCCGCUUGGAAGCGGGAGGCGAAACUCGCAAGAGGCGCUAGGAGGGGCUCGCGGCCUAUCAGCGAGUUGGUGCGGUAACGGCGCACCAAGGCGAUGACGGGUAGCUGGUCUGAGAAGAUGGCCAGCGACCUUGGGACGGCGAGACGGCCCAGAGUCCUACGGGAGGCAGCAGUGGGGAAUAUUGCGCAAUGGGCGAAAGCCUGACGCAGCGACGCCGCGUGGAGGAUGAGGCCCUUCGGGGUGUAAACUCCGGUUGCCCGGGACGAAGGCCCCGCAUCGGCGGGGAUGACGGUACCGGGUGAGGAAGCACCGGCUAACUCUGUG